rnacentral:misc_RNA from 1 species
GCCAUAUAUUACACCCAUUACAACUCCUAGAAAAAUUAGUGGUAACAUCCUUUGUACAUUAAAAUGUGCUAAAGCAAAGGCAAUGGAACUCAUAAGAAUGGAACACCAUACAGGCAUGUAUUUUGUCAAUGAAGGGAGAAGGAAGCCCCUAAAUACAAUCUCCUCCCAGAGAGGGGCGCAGACGACAAGAACCAACGCGUACAACGCCAUUGCCACUGGAUCACGUGCUAAUAUAGACUGCUCGACGCUAGAGAGAGUUAAAGGAGUGGAAGGGAGAACAGGUAACAGGUCGAGAUUGAACUGUGAUAGCCGGUUCACUAAUGGGAACAUGAGACAUCCAACAAGAACGUCGAAGAGCCAGUUACCUUUUAGGCUAAACUUGAACCAGUCUGAUGGAAGUGGACGGAAACGGGUUAGACACCGUUGAAGAAUUAGAAUUCCAGCAAGACCCUCGGUUACAUCGGUUAAAAGGCUGAAUAAAGCCUGCCCUCUGAAUGUCAGUGAUUCUUUGCUGAUACCAACCAUAUA